AAUUUUGGACAAUGGGGGAAACCCUGAUCCAGCCAUCCCGCGUGUAUGAUGAAGGCCUUCGGUUUGUAAAGUACUUUCGGCAGAGAAGAAAAGGUACUUCUUAAUACGAGGUACUGCUUACUUUAUCUGCACAAUAAGCACCGUCUAACUACGUGACAGAGGCCGCGGUAAUAUGUAGGGUGCAAGCGUUAAUCGGAAUUACUGGGCGUAAAGCGUGUGUAGGCGGUUCGGAAAGAAAGAUGUGAAAUCCCAGGGCUCAACCUUGGAACUGCAUUUUUAACUGCCGAGCUAGAGUAUGUCAGAGGGGGGUAGAAUUCCACGUGUAGCAGUGAAAUGCGUAGAUAUGUGGAGGAAUACCGAUGGCGAAGGCAGCCCCCUGGGAUAAUACUGACGCUCAGACACGAAAGCGUGGGGAGCAAACAG
rnacentral:rRNA from 1 species